rnacentral:RNase_P_RNA from 1 species
GAAGGCGGGGAGACGGCCGCACGAAUCUCGCAACGAAAUUUGUGAGGAAAGUCCGGACUCCACAGAACACGAUGGUGGGUAACGCCCACCGGUUCCGUUCCGACGGAAUCAGAGCAAGUGCAACAGAAAGUAAACCGCUGCCGCCGCGGGGGUCUCCUUUCUCCUCAUGGCUGCGGUAAGGGUGAAACGGUAAGGUAAGAGCUUACCAGCGGUUUGGGUGACCAGACCGGCUAGGCAAACCUCAUCGGGAGCAAGAUCAAACAGGGAUGACGCCAUUUCGCGGCGGUGCUGUUCGUACCGUUUUCAAUCCCGGGUCGAUCGCCAGAGGAAAACGGCAACGUUUUUCCCAGAGAAAUGGCCGUCCCCUGAUGUCAUGUCAGGGACAGAAUCCGGCUUACACCCCGCCUUUUGUU